AUGAAACCACGCGGGUUCAUUGACACCCAUACAAUGGAGCUCUACAUUCGACAAUUCAACCUUGAACAAUCAAUUCAGACUUGUGGCUCCGCUAUUCCAACCAAAUAUGCAUUCUCACAAUCUUUGACCGCUAAACUACUGGUUCCCGAGGACCAAUUCAUUGCAUCCAAGUGCCUUCGUGAAUUCGACACUGCAUACCAAGCUGGCUUGCUCAAGUCUAAGGAUCUUUCAUAUGGCUCUAACCAUGAUAAUUUGCAGCUAUACCUCGCCAUCCCCCCAAAACAACAUUGGAUCGUGUGUUGCAUCAACCUUCUUUACAAACAGAUCAACAUAUUUGACUCAACCAGGAAGCUCAAGAAUGACGAGGCAUAUGAGAUAUCCAACAAUCUGGUUACCAAUUUUGUGACAUUUGCAGCACAUGCUAAAGCUUUCACAAAGUUGGAUUUCAUGAAGUUCACGUGUUUCAACCCUCCGGAAUGCCCCCAACAGAAAACACAGACACUUAUGACCAUCACGCGCUUAUCACAAAAGAAAUCCUCACUUCACAACUCAACACCCAAUAUCCAAGCUGGGUACUGA
rnacentral:rRNA from 1 species